UUAAAAUUUUAAAUAAAAAACCGACACGACAAUACUAGAAACAAAUAAAAUAAAAUAAAUUAUAAUCUAAAAGAUUUAUGAGACAGUACCUGAUCGCCUAAAAUACAUUUCAAAACGUUAAAUCAAUGCCAUUCACCAAUCAUGAGCAACCGUGAAUAGUUGUUGUGAAGUACAGCUAAAAUAAAUAAAUGAUAGAAAAGAGGAACAGCUGAAUGAUUCCGGUACAACCGAUAACAGCGAAGCAGUAAUCGAAGAAAAAAACCGCCGAGCAGCACCUAUUAACAAAAUAGCAAUAACAUGGUAUACAAACACAGGAAACCCAAUAAAUACCAACAUCACCUACAGAGAGACACAAGAACUACAGCAGUAACUAUGCAUAUACUAUCAAAUGUGAACUAAAUUUUUCUCACAAGUUUCAAUCUGAAGACAUAAGUGAACGUAAAAUUAAAUGAACAAGAAGGGACUAGGCUGAUUUUUAUAACUUAUUGGGACACGAGGGCACAAAAAUUAAUCGUUUUUUCUUUUAGAUAGACAAGAUAAAAUGCUGGAUAAUUCUAGCUAAACGUCAAUAGCAGCAAAGGAGAUACAGAGGAAAUAACAUAUCUUGCAGCACAAAUCCACAAGUACAAGAGAAAUAAAACAAGAAAACCUAGAGUGGAAGCCAUGAUCAAGACAACCAGCUGAAUAUUAUUUUAUUAUUUUGAUAUAAAACCCGUAACAUUCGCCAUCACCAUUUUAAAAAUUAUUUUAUAUAUAAACAUCCCUGUAAGAAUUACGUAAAAUCAAAAACCAAAUUCCAUAUAAUAAUAAUUAUAAUGUGUGGAAAUAAACAACCUCAAUUCAGCAUCAUAAUAAAAAACCCAUUUUUCAUCGAACACAUUUGCAAUAACUUCCAUUAGAAUCAAUUUAAAAAGAGAGUAGAUAAUUAGAGUAAAACAUUUUGUACAAAAUGUUUCUUUCGAAAUUUGAAAAAAAAAAAAUAUUAUAAGUUUACAUUUCACACAGCAUAUACAAUAGCCUUUACAAUUUUUAAUAACUUUAGAAUGACUCUAGCAAUACUUUUUAAAUAAAAUGAUAAU